GUGCUCGCUUUGGCAGCACAUAGACUAAAAAUUGGAACGCUACAGAGAUUAGCAUGGCCGCGGCACAAAGAUGACAUGCAAUUCAUGAAGUGUUCUCCUUUUUA
ensembl:snRNA U6 U6 spliceosomal RNA